CAAGAUGUUGGGGAUCCACAUAGCCUCAGUAUGGGGGUCUCUGGGACCCCUUUGUUUACCUGGAUCCUUGCAGCAAGCCACUUGCUGUUUUUAACACCUGCAGCACAUGUCUGGGCCUCCAAAUCCUGUGGGGGCUGCUUGAGGGAGCCGGGAGGGAGGAGGGACUCUGGGGGAUAGGAGAGAGGUGACAGCUGUCUGCAAAUGUUGGAUGGUGGAGAAACUUCAAUUGGAAAUGGGAGAAAAUAGACUUCUCUGGGACCUCAGACUAUGUAAUUAGGACCAGAGAUGGCACUAAAAGAGACACAUUUUCCUGUAAAUAUAAGCACAACAACAACAAACCCAACUUUUUUUUUUAGCAGUCAGGGAUAUCUGCCAAUUGUUGUAUCUGUGGUCUCAGUCACCUCCUCAGAGGCUCCCAUGAACCCCUCUUCCUCUCCUCCAUUUAAAUUUGAUCCUCCCCUCAGUUAUUCUGCGCCAUCAAUCUGUUUAUUUCUGGUAAGUUACUUAUGAAAGUCAUAAAUAUCAUGCCUCUGCCUGCUCGCUUGUUUAGUUUCUGCCUUUCAGUCUGGGUGAUAAGCUUCACGAGGGCAGAACUCUUAUCGCCUCAUUCAUCCUUACUUCACCAGGGCCCAGCACGGGGCCUGGCACAUAGUAGGAGCUCAAGAAACAGGUGUUGAUUGAACAAAUGAAGAAUGAAUGAAUACUUCAGGAGGGAAUGAAUUCCCCACCAGAGGAAGGAUUUAAGCAGAGGCUGCGCGGCCAAUAGUCAGGGCUGCUGGAAACCCUCCUUCUCCUCCUCGCUGCUUUGGUUUGUUACGCCAGCCGCUGGGAUGACCGAACCCAAACUAUAUGGUGGUUCGGUCCUGACAGAAAGUUGUUUUGCUCGUGUAAAGUCUCAGCUGGCUGUUUCUGAUGGGUAGGCAGCUCUUCUCUAGGGUGUGGUUCCAGGAUUCAGGCCUCUGUCACCUUGUGGCUCUGUCAUCUUCAGUAUGUGGCUUUUUAGGUCAACAUGCUCAAUGGCACACAGCAGUUAGAAGGGAAAAGGGGGAUUACAGGCCAUGCCCGGAAGAGGGACACAUCCCUUCUGCUCACACUCCUUUGCUAGAACUCCAUCCUAUCUCAUUGCGAGGUGUAGGUCAUGGCCCGGGAGAGAGUGGGGCUGAGUCUGGUUGAUAAUCCGUCAGGCUGUGCAUGCCUGCAUUGGGCAGGAGGUGGGAACAGAUGGCUUCAGGGAGCCUCUCCAAUUCCCAGCACUUCUGUUUGAAGAGUUCUGUCUCCUUUUUGCAACAACUUGGCAGUUAAGGAGAAGUCAGGUACUAGUCGGCUCUCUUUCUUUUUUAGCUUUGUAAUUCUUUUUGUUUUGCUCAAGAAUUCCCUUAGGUGUUUCUGCUGUGUCAUUAUGGGCAGUGAGAACAUUUGCUUAGGCAACCACAAAAAUGCCCAAGUCAGACAGACCUGCCCAGGAAUCCUAGCUUUAUCACUCCCUAGGUAUGCGGCGUUGGGUGAGUGAUCCAACCUCUCUGUGCCUCUACUUUCUCCUCUAGAAAAUAAGGACAAUAACAGUAAUAACGCUGACUUCGUAACAUUGUGAAGCUUCAAACAGCAGAGGUAAAUACAUCAUGAAAAUGCAGGAUGCCGGAGACUUCCCAUCACGUCCUGAUAUCCUCCUCUCAUCUUCUAGAUAUUAUGGGGCUGACCCCGUGGCCGAGUGGUUAAGUUCGUGUGCUCUGCUGCA